rnacentral:rRNA from 1 species
GUGGGGAAUAUUGGACAAUGGGCGAAAGCCUGAUCCAGCAAUGCCGCGUGAGUGAUGAAGGCCUUAGGGUUGUAAAGCUCUUUUACCAGGGAUGAUAAUGACAGUACCUGGAGAAUAAGCUCCGGCUAACUCCGUGCCAGCAGCCGCGGUAAUACGGAGGGAGCUAGCGUUGUUCGGAAUUACUGGGCGUAAAGCGCACGUAGGCGGUUACUCAAGUCAGAGGUGAAAGCCCGGGGCUCAACCCCGGAACUGCCUUUGAAACUAGGCAACUGGAAUCUUGGAGAGGUCAGUGGAAUUCCGAGUGUAGAGGUGAAAUUCGUAGAUAUUCGGAGGAACACCAGUGGCGAAGGCGGCUCACUGGCUCGAUACUGACGCUGAGGUGCGAAAGCGUGGGGAGCAAACAGGAUUAGAUACCCGUGUAGUCC